CAAGCCUUUUAACGAAUCUGACGAUGCAUCUCCAAAAUAUCUGCCCCGUCACUACUGUUUCUUUUGAGCCUUAACCCCAACUUCUCUUUUCUCAUCCCAGACUUGGGAGAAACGAAGAACUAAGGACCCUUUCUCUUCCUCUCUGUCUCGUUAUUCUUCUGUUUUGAUCUCCGACCAACCGGAUCGGAAUACCUAAUAACAUACAUAUCUCUGUUUCUCUGAGUCUUCAAUCCUCAAUUGAUGGGUUCCUGAUGAGGUUUCGCAAUUUCAAAUCCUUGGUCGCUGAAACCCUAAUUCGUGGUCGAAGUGUAAGUUAAAAGUCGAAGUUUGAGUUGAUCCUUCUUGACUCAUAAGAGUUGAGAUUGGCUCCUCGUUCUGCUACUUUUAACUUAAUUCAAUUAUUAAAACUGAAAAUUGAGAAAGAAAGGACGGCAGGAGUUAUGGGGGAUGAAUUGCAGAUGAACGACUACGAAGGAGGCCUUGGAGGUGAAGAUGAAGAUGAAGACCAAAUCCAGGAAUGGAAGGCCGGAUUACCCAGCGCAGAUGAUCUCACACCCUUAUCUCAGUCUUUGAUACCUCCGGAGCUCGCCUUGGCGUUUAAUAUAUCACCAGAGCCCUGUCCAAGCAUGCUUGAUGUGAAUCACGCCUCCCAGAGUACUCUAUCGAAUCUCUGUGGCCAGUCGUCUCAGUCUUUCUCCUCCGGCCACCUCAGGUGCUUACCUUCCUUUGCGGAUGACCCAAGUCGUCAUCAGGACCCCAUGGUUGUUGAAGGUGACGAAAAUGGACCCAAUAGUACAACUCAAGACGGCUCCGAUGCUCUAAAAGUAAGGAGAGUCGACAUCGCUGAAGAGGCAGGUUCGGAUUUGCCAAACGAUAAUUCUAACAAUAAUAAUGAAGAUCAACCUGCUGCUCCGACCUUUAAAAGGCCCCGAUUAGUGUGGACUCCGCAGCUUCACAAGCGAUUCGUCGAUGUUGUCUCGCAUCUGGGUAUCAAGAACGCCGUGCCUAAGACCAUCAUGCAACUGAUGAACGUGGAGGGUCUAACGCGAGAGAACGUCGCCAGCCACCUCCAGAAGUAUCGCUUGUACCUGAAGAGGACGCAAGAUGGCUUGUCCAACGGGCGCCCCUCUUCUUCGGAUCAUCUCUUCGCAUCAACCCCUGUGCCUCUUCAGAUGUCAUACCCUGCACCUUUGCUGCCAAUGCCGGUGCUUAAUGUUCCACACCGCCACGGUCAUGGCCAUAUGGGGAUGCCCGUCGGUAAUCCACCUACACCUCCUCCUACCUAUCAUGGCUUGGAGUCACAUCCCAAUAACAUGUUUCAUGAGCAGCAGCAGCAGCAGCCAGAUUGGUCGGGUAACAAGUUCGGAUCGUUUAUGCCUUAUCCUCACGUAAACCCUAAUGAUAAAUAAAAAUCACUGCUGAGUUUCUCGGUAAUCUUCUUCACUACUACUACUACUACUACUAUUAUUCUUAUCAUUCUUUGUAAUCGAUGGGAUGAUCAUUCAAUAUUUCAGUGCAGUCUCGAUAGUGGGCGGUAAGAAUCAUAUCAUACGGUUCUACGGUCCUACAUGUUUCAAACUAAAAUCUGAAUCAAAACUAUAACCACUCUUUUCAAAUCUCAAUUUGGAUGUUGACGUUUCUUUCUGGAUUAAGGUUUUGGAUUCUCAUGUGGCAGAGGCAAAACUUUAACGAAGACUAAAACGUUAACCAGAGUACAGGAGAUUCUUCGCUCACCCAAAAUGUGUACCUCGGACAUGGCACCUGCAGAGGUAGCCAAAAGUUGUUCUUCGGGUGUACAGGAAUGUGGAGUUAAGUACUCGGAAGCUAGAAUGGUGGCUGUGAAGAACUGCUUUCUGACCUUGGAAGUGCCAGUAAGAAUUACAUGUCACCUGAAACCAGUUUCGGCGGAUCGAAGAUUUAAUGGGUUGCCUAUAUAUUAAUGGAGAUCAUCUGCUAACAUUGAUUACAUCUAUUUGCUCUGCUAAUGGAAGUCUGAAACAAUCUGAUACAGAAAUUCUCAACUUAUUUAAAACUGCUUCUGCUGCCCUGUUAAUUAUGAUCUGCAAAGUGGGUUUCACUUUAGGUUUAUCUUACAUCUGAAAAUAAGAUGAACUAACACUAAUUCGGAUUUUUCUUUUGCUGAUGUAGCAGGAUGAAACUUCAGUCCCUGCAAUCCAAAGCCAGGUCUCUUUGUUCAUCUUCUUGUCUGUUUGCGAGGAAGGGGAAACCUUUUCUCUGGGAAUUUCAGAUGAAAUGAGACACAGAUCAGCAUCUUUUUCGGUCUAUUAAUAUGUACUAUUGAGGACAUUUGAGGGGCGGUUGGCUGGAAUGGUUUUGGCGUUUGGCCUUUCUCGACUCUUCAAGCUCGUCAGGCUCUGCAGGCCUCAGGGUCUUCAGGCUAGCUGACUCAUAAUCCCACUGCAAAUCUAGUGGUGCCUGAUGAGUUCAACCAAAUGAUUUUGGUAUUUAAAUAUGGCUUCCUUGCCUUCUUUACGUACCUCCUUCGGGGAUGGGAACACCAAAUUGGAUGAGCAACCAUACAAUUCGUCCCCUAAUUUAUAGUCGUCUUUAACCCAAAAUUCUGUAUUGUUAGGUUUUUUUUAUUCGUCUUCUAAGCACAGACGCACGCAGUGAAGCGAGAGAGGGAGAAGGGAGGAGGUGGGGCGCGGGAGAUCGUAGGUGUAGUUAAAUUUUUGAACGGAUCCUUUGUCUUCAUGGGAUUUCGUGAUGAUUUUGAGAAGCCCUAGGCCAGUGUGGCUUGUUAGAUCAUCUGGGCUGAAACCCUUGAUUUUUCAUUCCAGAGAAACUCGAGGCCAUUGAUCUUGUAGCUCAUCCUGCACAGUGGACACCAAGAAUGGUCUUCGCUUUGGCUGAACUUUCAUUGCCAGGGAAAUUCUCUGAAUUCGGAUACUUAUACCAUAAGAAGGGGAAAAAAAAAAAAAUCCCAAUUUGGAAUAAAGAUACAGCAGCAGCAGCAAGAACAGCAUCUUUCCUGUAACUUUGCAACAUCCGCUCAGUUGGUUUGUCCACUCGGCCUCUAACCGGUCCACCCGGCUAUAGAUAGGGUUUUGGGGAUUACCAUAUUAGGUUUCGUUGUCUUUCAAAUGUUCGUGAAGCUCAGAAGGGAAGCCGUUUCUUGUGCUCUGCAUCUUCAACUACACUCUUAAGCUGCUGAGCGUUUCGUUGGCUCAGCAGAAAGUUUAAAUCUUUGCUCGUUAGUAAGCAUCAUCCCAAGCUGAUGGUCUCGGAGGUAAUUUAAUUUCUGUAGUAGUUCUGUCUCCUCUAGAACCAGAAAUAUCUAUUUUUUUCCUUUUGGUUGAUCUAAUUUAUAUGUGGAAGCCAUCUCUGUUGGCGGUCGUCAAUAGGUCCCUCCGUGUGACGUUACGUUGCUCAUUUUAACCAUGAUGGCACUGGUGGCGCUUUUCGUAAUCGAAGCUCACUGGUAAACGUGGCAAACGAUGACGUCUAUCCCUCUUGGACCGAUAAAGAUGCUGAACGACGGACCGCGUUUUCUACCCAGGAGAUCGGAGGAUUUGGUGUCCCUGAGGGUAGGGUUUGGGUUUCUCGUUCAUCAUCACAGCCAGCUGAUGGAGGAACCCUUCGAAGAAGUUUCAAAAACAAAACAACCCUAGAACUGAGGACCAUCCACCAUUGUGUUACCUUUUCCAAGCUUCUUGUGAAAACUUCAAAACUUUACUGCUCAUGCGGAACCAGAAGAUGGUGCUAACGCUUCUAGUUCUCAUCCAGCCUCAUAUAACAGCUUGUUGAAGUUCUUCAGUUGGGUCGGCGAGGUGGUUGAAGUUGUUACUCUUCCCUCUGAUGAAAGGAGGUCUGUAUCCCAUUCUCUGUUACAACACUCUGCUUAAUGGCCUUGCGGCUGCGAAACACUUUCAUGUGCUUUGUGCGGUAAUGGAGGAGAUGUACUCUUCUGGUGUAAUUCCCAAAAUCUCCCUCUUCAACAUUUUGGUCAAGGCAUAUUCCUGUUAUUCCCUCUAGUUCAAUUUGGCUUUCUGUGUCCUGGAUGAGAUGUCCUCUGUGGGUUGUAAUCUAGAUGUGAUAACUUACCCGACCUGGAUUACUGAUCUUUCUAGGGCAGGAAGAGUUGCGGAAGAAUUACUGAUCUUCAGAAUUCUCUAGUUCACGACAUCUGGAUUGAUGCAUUUUGCAAAAGUAGGCGUUUUGUUGAGGUUGAGUUGAUCUUUAAGGAAGGCACAUGAAAGGGUUGGAAGCCUAGCACUAUCAGUUGUAAUACCUACAUUAAUGCACUUUGUCAAGUGGGCAAGGCUGACAAAACUUACAGAGCAUUAGAAAUUAUGAUGUGCAAUGGAUUAUAUCCCACUGUUGUGACCGUGAAUUUACUUCUUGAUUCCCUUUGCUUUGCUUCAAAUAUUUUGAGGCAAAUAAAGUUUUGAACCUGAGUUUCCACUUUAGUUGGGAAGUCAGUUUGGUAAGUUACAACAUUGUGAUGAAUACAUCAUGUAAGAUCGGUCAGUGGCGGAGUGUUAUGAUGCUAUUAGUUGGCACGUUGGAGAAGGCAGUUGUCUGAAUACUAGGACUUAUAGUAUUGCUGUUCAUAGCCUUUGUGAAGCUAAAAAGCUGAGGGAAGCUGAAUAUUUGGUUAAAUGCAAAGGGUUUAAUGCUGAUGUUGUGGCAUGUAAUAUGUUAUUGAAUGGGUAUUGCAAGACAUGAAGUAUAUCUGAAGUAAAUAAUUUGUCAUAGAAUGACAAUCAUGGAAAAGAUUGAUCCUGGUAUUUUCACGUACACUAUUCUGAUUGAGAUUCACUGUAAAAAGGGAGAAAAAUAAGGAUGCUAUGGACAUUUUUGGUUAGGCUCAUAGCUCAUCUUAAGGGUUUCAUGCCAGAUCUUGUUGCAUGCUCCACUUAAAGAAUGGUCUGCUCAAUAAGGAGCUGCGCUGCUGGAUAGAAUGCUAGAGCUGGGACUAUUUCCUGACAUUGCUCUUCAGGAAUCAUUUGUCAGGGCAUGUUGUGAGAAACAACCGUCGCAUGUUUGGAUUUUCUAUUGAGAAACUACUUUGAUGUAGAUAGGUGCAUCUCAAUUGUUGAAGACCUGGAAGGAAGGCUUCUUAUAACUCCUAGCAUUAGUACAGAAUAGAUAAUUUAAUUCAUCGCUUUGUUGUAACAUAGGAUAGUUAGGUCUUGUCUUCCCUUUUAAUUUACAAAACUCACAACUUUGACUCUGGAAUUGUUCCUUUUUUGGCAGGUAAUCUGUUAAUGUGCUUGGUUGACAUCAUUUCAUAGCAGAAAUUGUAUGAACUUAUCUGACAAAGUUGCUGGUUGGAAGAAGAGGAUCUGCAUCUCCAAUUCGUUUCGGUGGUGGCUUUCUCCAUUUAUGAUAAGGUCAUGGCUUCCUACCCACAGUCUCAUUGGUUGGGAUGCCUUGGAUAACAUUCAAUCGAAUAAGAAAUCUUUACCUAGAUGACAGUCCCAUUUGUUUCCCUGGGAAGUCAUUUUUUACCGUCAUUCUGUUCACUAAAAGUAGAAUUCGGUGGAUAUCCUUUAUCUGUUUAAUUUUUAUUUUAUUUUAUUUGUUGUAUUUUAAUAUUUAAUUGCUUUUGCUUUUACGUUAGUGGCCUAUGCUUUUAGCCAUAUUGCUUAGUUCGCAACAAUCUUGGUGAGUUUCACUUUGGGGUUUGCCCUACUGUCUGACAAGGUUUAUUCAAUUAAAAAGUAAUGUGUAUACAAUUGUGAAAUUAUAUACUAAUGGUUUGAUCGCUACCUUUACCAGAGAGAAAAA